CUCCUCCAUUACCGACGUCCCUCUUUCUCUCUCCUCCUUCCUCCUCUUCUUUCUCCUCCUUCCCUUCUCCCCCAUUUCUCCUCCUCUCCUUCCUCCUCUUUCUCUCUCCUCCUUUCUGUCCUCUCCUUUUUUCACUCAUUCUUCCAUCUCCUUCUCUUCCUCUCCAUCUACUUCUCAUCAUCAUUCUCCUCCUCCAAGCCGCCCAUAAACCAUUCCUCUUCACAAUGGCCUCCACCUCCGUCCCUUCUUCUCUUACCCAUCUUUUUUCUUCCCAUCCUCUUCUCCUUUUUUUCCUCUUCCUCCAUCCUAUUCCUUGCUGGCAGUCCCUCUCCCCUCCCAUUCUUCCUUAUCCUCUUUCUCCUCCUCAUCCUCUUUCUCCUUGAAAUCAACCCAUGAGCUCUAUCAUUUUAGAUGGCCUCCUCUACAUCCGCCUCUUCUCAUCGAUAAAAGAUCCUUUCUUUUUCUCUUCCUUCUCACUCCUCUCUUCUCCUCCAUGAUAGCUCCCUACACCUCCUUCCCUUCCUUCUUAUCCAUUUCAUCUCCUCAUCCUCCUCUUCCUCCAAACCAUCCAUAAGUCAUCCCCUUCACGGC
rnacentral:lncRNA from 1 species